rnacentral:lncRNA from 1 species
UGUAUUCAACUUUUCAAUUGUGCAUAGGUUAUCACAGGUAUUAAACAAUAUGUCACAUUCCUGACUAAUUUAUUUUCAAAUAUCUACUGCCUAGACAAUGCCUAGCCUGGUGCCUGGCCUCAUGCAGUGGCUCUCUGAUGUGAACAUACUGAAUAAUGUCAUCACUGUCAGCCAUCUUUGAGGAAUCAUGAAAAGUGCCAGAACUAAAGCAGGGAAAAUGUGUCUUCUCAAAACUACAAAAUAAUGAGUUUACUGAAGAUACCUAGCAGCUUGCUAGGAUGGAUUGAGAGUCUUCAGGGAAUGAAGCACUGAGUCUGACCUAGAAGGGGACCUCAGAAAGCAAUGAAGAAACCUUUCCUUUGUUACUUCCUUCCUUGGUGAUUGCCUGCCUUCUUCACCAAUAUACUGGAGUUACAGAAUGCGGUGAUAUGUACUUUACAAUGGGAUUAAAUAUGGCAACAUGGCUAGAUCUGCACAAAUCUGGAACUCUCGUUCUGUUUGUGCUAUAGAGUAAGUAUCCUUAUGUAAGUGUUCUUUCACUUGUGAUUUCUUCUACACAGUCCCUCAAUCAUUCUGCAGUAAAGCUCAGGCUUUUUAGCUCAAGGUUGAUGGACAAAAUGAUGGAAGGGGGAAGGACGUGACUUGCAUUCAUAUAUAUUGUGUUUCUUAAAACUGGGAAACCUCCAUUGCAUUAUAAAGGUCUAGAUGAAAAUAUGAGGUAAUGUUCAGCUGAAACCAUCAAAAUUAUAAGCUCUCCUAAAUUAGCUUGAAAACUCAUCAGUAGUAUAAAGACUUUAGUUUCUCGAUAGCACAGUGGAUUGAGAUUAGGUGAUUAUUCAUACCUGCCCAAAUGUCCCUGGGUAACAAGGAUAGGUAAAACCAAGGCAAUGUGACACAUUUGAAAGUUGCUGAGUUGAAUAUGAGAUGUAAGCAAAACCGUCCAAAGCUGUGAUUGAAUACUAGGAUUAGUCCUUCAGUACAUUGGGUUUUAUUUUUUAUUUUUCCAGGCAGGUUAAGGUUUUAGAAAUGUGACCUCAGUACUAACUAAAACUCAUCCUAAUUAAAGAGAAUGUCUAAUGAUAAUAAAGUCUUGAGACUAAUCUUUGGGCA